rnacentral:misc_RNA from 1 species
GAUGAAGAACGCAGCGAAAUGCGAUACUUGGUGUGAAUUGCAGAAUCCCGUGAACCAUCGAGUCUUUGAACGCAAGUUGCGCCCGAAGCCAUUAGGCCGAGGGCACGCCUGCCUGGGCGUCACACGUCGUUGCCCCCCCAUCUACUCCUUCGGGAUUGCGGGGGGCGGAUGAUGGCCUCUCGUGCGCCUCGUCGCGCGGUUGGCCUAAAUGCCAAGUCCUCGGCGACGCACGCCACGACAAUCGGUGGUUGCGAAACCUCGGUUGCCUGUCGUGUGCGGUCGUCGCGCAUCGAGGGCUCGAAAAAAUUGCCGGGCUUCGGCUCGACUUUCAACGCGACCCCAGGUCAGGCGGGGUUACCCGCUGAAUUUAAGCAUAUCAAUAAGCGGAGUA